UGAUAUAAAGAGGUGGUCUCAUCCCCAUGG
rnacentral:piRNA from 1 species